UACGUAGGGGGCAAGCGUUGUCCGGAAUCAUUGGGCGUAAAGCGCGUGUAGGCGGCCCGAUUAGUCCGCUGUGAAAGUCCAGGGCUCAACCCUGGGAUGCCGGUGGAUACUGUCGGGCUCGAGUCCGGAAGAGGCGAGUGGAAUUCCUGGUGUAGCGGUGAAAUGCGCAGAUAUCAGGAAGAACACCCGUGGCGAAGGCGGCUCUCUGGGACGGUACUGACGCUGAGACGCGAAAGCGUGGGGAGCGAACAGG
rnacentral:rRNA from 1 species